ACGCUCGACACCUACGGGAGGCAGCAGUUAGGAAUAUUGGGCAAUGGAGGAAACUCUGACCCAGCAACGCCGCGUGAAGGAAGAAGGUUUUCGGAUUGUAAACUUCUGAUCUAGGGGAAGAAGGAAGUGACGGUACCCUAGGAGAAAGCCACGGCUAACUACGUGCCAGAAGCCGCGGUAAUCUGAGCGGGCUGGCAAGGC
rnacentral:rRNA from 1 species